GCGGCGGCAGCAGGAGGGACCCCGCGCUGCAAGGAGCCGCCGCCGCCGCUGCUUCAUCCUGCGGCACCGGGAGGCGGAGAGGAGCCCGGGCGCGCGCAGGUGGCAGUGUAGAAGCCAAGAACAAAAACUGACAGAAGUUACUUUUCUCUUUAAGAAAAUGAAGAGAGCGUACACAUGACUAAGCACAGGAACCUGAAAAACCACAGAAACUAUUCCCUGGGACCAAAUUAUUAAAAUAUUUUGAGGCCCUCGCUGAAAGAAGGUACAGACCAGUGGACUGAACUUCUGUUAUAUAGGGCAAUUUGUAAGGGGAUAGCCAGGCUAACCCCAGCACCUUUUGAGUAGGCAGUUUGCCGAUCACCUCCACCCCAAAGGGAGCAUUUAACCUGUAGCUUAUCGGGAAAGGGAAAUUAGCUAAAUAAGGUGAAAAUCAACACAACAAACUUUUAUGGGAUUGCCUUGGAAGUGUUAUGAGGGGAUUGGGAGAAAAGAUCAGCUUUGUGGGUCAUUGUUAAUGAACAGUGCAGUUGAGCCAGUAUAAUUGCUGACAUUCAGGAAGCCUAGCUGAAAGGUGGAGAAAAGACUGCAGACAGGCAUUUUGGAGAGAGUAUGGUGCUUACACCGUAAGUUUCAACCAGUGAAGGGCCACUACUUCAGUUAAGAAGCAUAAACUUAAAUAUAGACUGGUUAUCAAGGAUCAAAGGCAGUUUUAUGUGAGACAUGUUGAAUGUCCCUGUUUCUACAAGAGGAUGAAGGUUUGAGCUGAAGUCUCUGGCAAGUGAAAAUUCCAGAUGGAAUAGACAAAGAGUAAGAAGAUGGAAGAAUAUAGGACACAACUGAAGAGUGUGUGUUUGGAGACAUACAACUAGAUGCCCUAGUCAAGGUAAUACUGGGACAGCUGGAGCCCCACUCAGAAGAAGAGAAAAUAAAAUGUAUCUCCAUCUCAAUUCUGUGCAUAGGUCACCGAUGCUAAUUUAAUGGGAUAGCUAUUCCAUGUGAGGGGCCCGCCUGUUGUGCGUGGUGGUAAUUCCAGAGCCUAACUCGUAGUACACUUUCCUGAAAUAGGCACUAAAGCAGAAGGAAAAAUACAGCCAUCAGCCAUGACACAGCACUGAAAAGCAUCCUUGCUUAAUGAACAUAUGUAAAGCUACAGCAAGUUAAAGUGUACCACCUAAAAUUUUGACCUAGAGACAUCCUGCUAGAUAAUGGAAUAAUCAGUGAAGAAAAGGAAAGUACUGAAAGGGACAAGUGGCAAGUGAUCCUGAUCAGUGACUCCUUGGUGACAGCCUGACAGAGCCAUGCCCUCAGAACAGGGGAGAUCUGCUCUUUUCCUUGUAUGUGUUCAAGUUUACAGAUUUGACAAACAGAGCAAAUAUUGUCCUGAAGAAGUCUGAGAAAUUUCCUUUUAUUGUAGCUGCUUAUUUACUAGAACUAGUAACAAUUUUUCAACCAACAAGAUUUUUGUCAAAAAAUGGCGUUUUCUGAAAAUAGAAUUUUUUUUUGCAACAUAUUGUCCAUGUCAAUAAAUUGUUAAUGAA